CUGCUGCUGCUGCUGCUGCUGCUGCUGCUGCUAAGUCGCUUCAGUCAUGUCGACUCUGGGUGACCCCAUAGACGGCAGCCCACUAGGCUCCUCUGUCCCUGGGAUUCUCCAGGUCCUUCCAUGAGGAUGGAACCUAACGCCAAGGAGGGGUACCUUCAGGGAAGACGAAACAGAAGCUGUAAACGGGCAGUCCGUGGGCUGGUCAGAAGUGUUUCUGUCUUGCCUGCAGAACGGCAUAUGAACUUGAUUCAACCCUUUAAAAUUGAGAGAUUCCACAUACAAACCUGGGCUAUAACACAGUGGUAAAUUCCACCGGACCCGGACUUGGGAACAGAGUAUCAACCAAGCACAGUGAGUGAAGAACCACACAGUUCAGCUUCCCGCGCUCUGUCUCCAUUCAGAAAACUCUUUGAGGCUUCCCUACUGUGUUCUUACGUAGGAUCUGAUGGAGGGGAGAAUGACGCAGCCCCUGCAUCUUCAAGUAUUUCCUGCAACAAUCAGGAUGGUUUUCUGCAGAGCUGCUGUGUGUAACAGACAACUCCCAGCUCCCAGCGGCACGGCAGUGUUAGUUGCUCUAAUGUCUGUGGACUUCAGGGGAGCUCUACAUCUGGCUUUGCUGGGUGAGAGGUGAGCUCCAGUCUCCACAGCUGUCUCUAGGACCAGCAGUUCAUCUGGGCAUCCCCUUCUUCUAACAAAUGGCAGAAGUGCAAGUCUGAGGGAAAUCACACAAGCACCAUGAGAGACCCCGCUUUUGUGCAUCUACAUGCAUUUCGCUGGCUAACACCCCAUGACCACACCCAGAGGCAAUGGGGCAGAGAUAAACACACCACCUUCUCUACAGAAAGACUCCCAGGGCAAGGGGUGUGGGUGUAUAAUCCUAUCACAGGGAGGAAGUGAAGACUCAGGACUAGCCAAUCUACUAUACUCAUAAGCACUACCACACUCAUAAGACAGUAAGGAGAUCACACCAGUCAACCCUAAAAGGAAACCAAGCCUGAACAUUCAUUGGAAGGACUGAUGCUGAAGCUCCAAUACUUUGGCUACCUGAUGCCAAGAGCCGACUCACUGGAAAAGACCCUGAUGCAAGGGCAGGAGAAGAAGGGGACGACAAAGGAUGAGAUGGCUGAAUGGCAUCACUGACUCAAAGAACAUGAAUUUGAGCCAACUCUGGGAGAUAGUGAAGGAUAGGGAAGUCUAAGGUGCUGCAGUCCAGGGGGUCGCAAAGAGUAGGACACGGCUUAGCAACUGAAAAACAACACUCAUGAGGAAUCAGCCCUUUCAGUCACUGCUUGCCACUCGGUUGGGCCCUGCAGGAAAGGAGGACAGACACGAUGGGGUGGGUUGGAGUCUGUCUGCACUACGCCAGAACAGUGUGUUCAGGGCUAAAUAGAGAACAAGAGGCCACAGUGGAAAAUGCACUGGAGAAGGGAGCCCACACCUUGGCCACUGGAAAAGAAGGAAAGCGGUCAGGUUUGGUGAUCCUGGGACCUGUGGCAGGAGGGAAGUGUCAGAGCACAAAGCACUUCACCGGAGAGCCGACAAGGCUAACAAGGAGGAGGACCGAGGAGGGGGCCCCGCUGGCAGGCAGCAUCACGGCACCAGAAGCACUUCACGCUAAUUGGCUUGCUUUGGCCAAUGAGUCACCAAAUGCAGGGAUGGAGCCCAAGACCAGGGAAGAUCCUGCAAACAUCAGGUCAGGGCUCAGAGGAAAGCCAGGCGCUGGGCAGCCAGCCUGAUCAGACUCUGCCGGGAUCUCUCUGAAAACCUCCUCCAGCCUGAGUCACUGAGGCUUUCAAACCUUGGUUUUAACCCACUUCAGUCCUCAGGCUUUCCUUGAGAGAAGUUCUACAACAAGAAAGAAUAGGAAAGAAAAGGCAGAGAUUGGAAAGGUUUUUACAAAUACACAGACCAGGUCCUUUAACAGCAGGGAAUUCCUUGGUGGGCGUGAUUCUCCGGGGCUAGAAAGAAAGGCCACCCCAGCCCUCUCUCUUCAGAGCAGCCUGGCAGAAGCUUUCAUAGCAACACCCUGACUUCCUUGGCAACACUGAUUGACAAGAAGUGAACUCCAUCAGCAUUUAUAUGCCUCACAUGGGGCUGUGGUGGCCUGAGAUGGAGAAAGAUGCUUCUCUCCACCAAACACUGGCCCCUGAAGCCAAGGAGUCACACUAACUCCAGCCUUCAGCAGCCAAACCAGCUCAAGCACGCGCUUGGGAGGAAAACACAUAAUAAAUGUCAAAGCUGAGCUCAGCUCCUGGAAUGCAAAGUCACCAAAUCGGUGCAAACUCAUGAGAAGAGCAGAAAUGAAUAAGUUCACUUUUAAAGUUUUACAGAUGCGGAAACUGAGGCUUAUGGAUUCAAGCAGUUCCUUAAACACAAGCUGUCCUCCUAACAACUGGAAUAAAUAAAAUGAGGACUUUGGGCCAGAUCCUAUAUUAAGGACCACGGCAGCCGCCAGUCCCUGCUCUUACCUUUGUAAGGGUAGGGCCCCUGCUGCCUCCUCUGCCUGCUCACCCUUCGUCCCUGCGCCAUCCUUUGCUGGUCCCGGUCCUAUGGCUCCUCCAAGACUCAGGCUAGGAAGUACCUCCUCUCGGAAGCCUAGCGGAUCUCCCCUCCUCACCCUCCCAACCCCUGCCCUGUUGGACUCUCCUCCUGAGCUCCCCAGAUGCCUUCCUUUCUCAUUCCAGAAAUGAGGUAAUGUGUCUGUCUCCUUUUCCCCACCAGCCUGUAGGAGUCAGGGACUGUUUAUACUGUACUAACACCAGAAGCACAGACCCUUGUGCAGUCCGUGCUGUGGAGUAGAAGCUCCGCACUGUGUGGAGCAGAUGCCCGGAGGAUGCACGCGUGAAUGAAUGGGGGAUGCUUACUAUGCAGAUGACGAAGGGCAGACUUGGUAAGUUGUGAAAAGCAGACCCCCUGCCCAGAGCAGCUACAGCCAGCGGUGGGUGCUCAAUAAAACUCAGUUUGAAUACAACUAAAAGGCCCAGUCUGGACCCCCAGGUGGCUGAAGGCAUCCUCACAAUGCCCAGGGGAAUCUGACUGUGAGUGCCGUUAAGCACAUCCAUAAAUCCAGCCGCAUCUCUGGGCCUCGGCCCAGAGGAGUUCAUGCACCCACAGCCGUGGUCCUGCAAGAAUAAUGAGGAGGGAGGAAGAGUCAUCAAGGGAGGACAGUGGAAUAACACAGAAGCCAUCAGGGAUCUACCAGGGCCGUGGGGAGCCCUGCGCACCCCGGGCAGGGCUGGAGGAAAGCAGAAAUCAGGAGGGCUUGUCAGAAACCGAUGACACUGGCAGAAAAGCCCAAGGUUGGAAGAAGGGGCUGUUUUUCUCCAGAUGACAUCCAGGUGCUUCCGAGGGGCCAUUACGAUGAUGCACAGCUGGGGGGGUGGGGCACUCAGAGAGGCUGCCUCCUCUUGAGGACAAAAUAUUAAGCCAUUGGUCAAACUUAAACACCCUCCCAUCAGGAGACCGGUUGGGGAUGAAGGACUGUGAUUCUCCAUCAUCUGCAGCUUAAGCACCAGCCCACGAGGAAACGACAAGGGGAGCUCAUUGAUGAAGAGGCUCAGGUGAGGUGUGGGAUUUAGGGAGGGACUGUGACAGGGAAGGCCACGGAGCCAUCAUCAGGGGGCCACCAACAUUACAACCCCACCCCAGAACAAGGCAGUGAAAGGGGACAGAGUUAUUAAUGCUCCAAUGGUCUAAAUGUCCACUGGUCCCAGCUGCUGAUCCAUAUCUCAACAGCACUAGCUACUGCGAACUGAGUCCCUCCCACGUGUUAGACGUGUUGGACUUUGGUCCUCAUUUCCACCAAGGAAGGGGCCAGUACUCCCAUCUUAGAGACACUGAGUCACUGGGUCACAGGUUGGCCCUAAUAACUGGCCCCACAUCACACAUCCAGGAAACAUUGGGAAGGGGGGAGGCUGGGAUUCAAACCCAUGGAUCCACCCCAAAGCUCAUGGUUGGCCUUUCCUCGGCUCCCACUGGCUGGCUGCUCUCAUCACACAUGCCCCCCACUGAUUGUCAGGGAAACUGUGCGAGGUGAGAGUGGCCAUCUCCAUUGUGCCCACCAAGAAACAGUGGGUCUGAGGGGCGAUGAGAAGGGUUGUAUGCUUUCUCCCUACCCCAAGCCAGGAACCUGGCACACCCUGACCCUGUGGACAGAGCAGCCAAGCCCUCAAGGUGACGUGGAUGACGGAGAGAGUGAACUGCUCUAACCGGGCCUCAGUCCCACUUUCCCUGCCUCCUCCAUCACUCCAGGCUGGAAUUUUUUUUUUGGGGGGGUGGGCAGGGAGAGACCCUACUCUUGUAGGACACCAAAGCUGGCCAUCUCUGUGUCUCUCUCUCCCUCCAUGUUUGCACACAGAGGAAAGAACACGUGACUACACAGCGAGAAGGGGACCAUCUGCAGGCCACAUCAGGCAUCGACCCUGCGGGCACCUGGUGCUGAACAUCCAGCCUCCAGAACUCUCAGAAAAUCCGUUUCUCUGGGUCAAGCCACCGAGGUGGCGGGUCCCGCGAUGGCAGCAUCACCGCCAGCUUCUCUGGCUCCAUCCUGCUGAUGAGGCUGCCACUGGUACCUGGUCUCUGCCAGCCGCGAGGGCCUUCCCUGUUCCCGGAGCCGAGGGGAGGAGGCACUCUGCAGCCUUUCUCAAGCCUCUCAUGCUGCUACGGCAUCAGUGGGCACAUUCCUCAUGAAGAGCCUGGAUGAUAAGGGGGACCAAGGGUGCUUGGGGCUGGAGGGGUUCAGGAGAGGCUGGUCACAGUGCUGUGUCCCUGUCACCAAGAUGCGGCCAUUUCUCAAUGCAGAGGUCAGAGAGUCACCAGACGCUAGAACGACAGGAUAAAGCAGAUAUAACCUGGACUUGACUUCUGGCCCUGCCACUUGCUGGGAGAUUGGUCAUCAGUGGGGCUAUGCACCAGUCUCCUGGCACCCUCGUUUCAGACAGGUGGUAAGAUUGAUCUUCUCGCCUCCUGGAAGUUGGGUGUUGCCAUACCACUUGCUGUGGCCAAUGAAAUCAAAACUUCAAGGACCAGUGCCUGCUUCUCUAUAUUUUCCCCCACCUUCCGACAAGGUUCUAGGUGGUGGUUGCUCCAUCAGGCUGGGUUCCUAAAUGAGAAAAACAGCAAGAGGCAGACCCCAUAACUGUCCCACGAUGGAUAUGUAGAGUGAGCAAUAAAUAAAUCUCUGUUUUUC
ensembl:lncRNA